GCGACAAACCGGAGGAAGGUGGGGAUGACGUCAAGUCCUCAUGGCCCUUAUGGGUAGGGCUUCACACGUCAUACAAUGGUGCAUACAGAGGGUUGCCAAGCCGCGAGGUGGAGCUAAUCCCAGAAAAUGCAUCGUAGUCCGGAUCGUAGUCUGCAACUCGACUACGUGAAGCUGGAAUCGCUAGUAAUCGCGGAUCAGCAUGCCGCGGUGAAUACGUUCCCGGGUCUUGUACACACCGCCCGUCACACCAUGGGAGUGGGUUUUGCCAGAAGUAGUUAGCCUAACCGUAAGGAGGGCGAUUACCACGGCAGGGUUCAUGACUGGGGUGAAGUCGUAACAAGGUAACCAAGGGCGAAUUCUG
rnacentral:rRNA from 1 species